rnacentral:rRNA from 1 species
UACGUAGGGUGCGAGCGUUGUCCGGAAUUAUUGGGCGUAAAGGGCUCGUAGGCGGUUUGUCACGUCGGCUGUGAAAUCCCGAGGCUCAACCUCGGGUCUGCAGUCGAUACGAGCAAACUAGAGUGUUGCAGGGGAGACUGGAAUUCCUGGUGUAGCGGUGAAAUGCGCAGAUAUCAGGAGGAACACCGGUGGCGAAGGCGGGUCUCUGGGCAACAACUGACGCUGAGGAGCGAAAGCGUGGGGAGCGAACAGG